GCGAUUAUACCAGCACUAAUGCACCGGAUCACAUCAGAACUCCGAAGUUAAGUUUGCUUGGGCGAGAGCAGUACUAGGAUGGGUGACCCCUUGGGAAGUCCUCGUGUUGCACCU
rnacentral:rRNA from 1 species